GUCGAGUUGGCUUAGGGAUACGUUCGUUGGGUAGGGGAGCGUUCUGUAAGCCGUUGAAGGUGUGUCGUGAGGCAUGCUGGAGGUAUCAGAAGUGCGAAUGCUGACAUAAGUAACGAUAAAGCGGGUGAAAAGCCCGCUCGCCGGAAGACCAAGGGUUCCUGUCCAACGUUAAUCGGGGCAGGGUGAGUCGACCCCUAAGGCGAGGCCGAAAGGCGUAGUCGAUGGGAAACGGGUUAAUAUUCCCGUACUUGGUGUUACUGCGAAGGGGGGACGGAGAAGGCUAUGUUGGCCGGGCGACGGUUGUCCCGGUUUAAGCGUGUAGGCUGACUUUCCAGGCAAAUCCGGAGAGUCAAGGCUGAGGCGUGACGACGAGGCACCACGGUGCUGAAGCAACAAAUGCCCUGCUUCCAGGAAAAGCCUCUAAGCCUCAGGUAACAUCAAAUCGUACCCCAAACCGACACAGGUGGUCAGGUAGAGAAUACCAAGGCGCUUGAGAGAACUCGGGUGAAGGAACUAGGCAAAAUGGUGCCGUAACUUCGGGAGAAGGCACGCUGACACGUAGGUGAAGUGAUUUACUC
rnacentral:rRNA from 1 species